rnacentral:miRNA from 1 species
AGAGUGUAGUAGAGCCAAGGACGAAUUGUCAGCAAUGCAACAAUUUAUACCAAGUAGAAUGAUAAUCGAUAAUCAAUGUCUUGGAAAAUUAGUCGGUAUUUAUCUAUUGACAAUUUAUUGCUUGGCUAAAUUCACCAUGCA